AUCCACUUAAUGGGGUUGUCCGAAAACUUUGAAUUUAUUUUUUGAAUUA
rnacentral:sRNA from 1 species